rnacentral:rRNA from 1 species
GAUGAACGCUAGCUACAGGCUUAACACAUGCAAGUCGAGGGGUAACGAGAGGGAAGCUUGCUUUCCUUGUCGACGACCGGCGCACGGGUGAGUAACGCGUAUCCAACCUGCCCCCAACUAGGGAAUAACCUUGCGAAAGUAAGACUAAUACCCUAUAAUUUCCUCAGAUGUCAUCUGACGAGGAAUAAAGAUUUAUCGGUUGUGGAUGGGGAUGCGUCUGAUUAGCUUGUUGGCGGGGUAACGGCCCACCAAGGCAACGAUCAGUAGGGGUUCUGAGAGGACGGUACCCCACAUUGGAACUGAGACACGGUCCAAACUCCUACGGGAGGCAGCAGUGAGGAAUAUUGGUCAAUGGGCGGAAGCCUGAACCAGCCAAGUAGCGUGCAGGAUGACGGCCCUAUGGGUUGUAAACUGCUUUUAUACAGGAAUAAAGUUAGCCACGUGUGGUUAUUUGUAGGUACUGUAUGAAUAAGGACCGGCUAAUUCCGUGCCAGCAGCCGCAGUAA